CAAACCGAAUUAUUUCUAGAACUGGACCGUUGACAUCUCAGAGCCAAAGGGGGAGACAUUGGCUCUAAACUUAAGAAGAUUCUGCAACAGAAUUUCAACAUUCAACAUUGAAAAUAAUAAAUCUGACAUCAUUGGGAGAUGAACAGCAGUUCUUGAUGGCCUUCCACUCCUCCUUGGAGAAGACCCCACUGAUUUUUACAAGACAUGUAUUGACUAUGAUGAUGAAGGCAAUUCAAGCGGCAUAUUGACAUUGAACCCUAAGGACUGUGAAACCAUACCUAACUCGCUGAACCUUGACGCCACAUCCACUGCCAUCUUUUUGGAAGGUACAAGUCUAAUGGAAGAAAUCUUACCCAAGCCAUGUGCCUCCUUUUUGGGCUCUUUUAUGCUCUGAAUUUAGAGUACCCUCCAGUAAUGAAGAACAACUUUGAUUUCAUCCAGGCGGUGAUUUUGUCACUCGGGCACAAGUCUCUGAAACUUAAAAUACUAUCUCUGAAACAUAUUCUAAUGCAGUAACGUCACUUUUCUCCAAUUCUACAUUUAACGUUUUGUGAAAAGUUAAAGAUGUGAAAAAGUUACAUUGAUCUUUUAUCUUUCCAGAGUGCAAUACAGUAUGUGCAUUUAUCUCAGAAUUGUUGACUGA